GCCUACUUAACUCAGUGGUUAGAGUAUUGCUAUCAUACGACAAGAGUCAUUGGUUCAAAUCUAAUAGUGGAGUA